rnacentral:rRNA from 1 species
AGUGAACGCUGGCGGUAGGCCUAACACAUGCAAGUCGAACGGCAGCACAGUAAGAGCUUGCUCUUACGGGUGGCGAGUGGCGGACGGGUGAGGAAUACAUCGGAAUCUACUUUUUCGUGGGGGAUAACGUAGGGAAACUUACGCUAAUACCGCAUACGACCUACGGGUGAAAGCAGGGGAUCUUCGGACCUUGCGCGAUUGAAUGAGCCGAUGUCGGAUUAGCUAGUUGGCGGGGUAAAGGCCCACCAAGGCGACGAUCCGUAGCUGGUCUGAGAGGAUGAACCGCCACACUGGAACUGAGACACGGUCCAGACUCCUACGGGAGGCAGCAGUGGGGAAUAUUGGACAAUGGGCGCAAGCCUGAUCCAGCCGUACCGCGUGGGUGAAGAAGGCCUUCGGGUUGUAAAGCCCUUUUGUUGGGAAAGAAAAGCAGCAGGUUAAUACCCCGCUGUUCUGACGGUACCCAAAGAAUAAGCACCGGCUAACUUCGUG